GCAGUCGACGAUGAACCACUUCGGUGGGGAUUAGUGGCGAACGGGUGAGUAACACGUGGGCAAUCUGCCCUGCACUCUGGGACAAGCCCUGGAAACGGGGUCUAAUACCGGAUACUGAUCCUCGCAGGCAUCUGCGAGGUUCGAAAGCUCCGGCGGUGCAGGAUGAGCCCGCGGCCUAUCAGCUAGUUGGUGAGGUAACGGCUCACCAAGGCGACGACGGGUAGCCGGCCUGAGAGGGCGACCAGCCACACUGGGACUGAGACACGGCUCAGACUCCUACGGGAGGCAGCAGUGGGGAAUAUUGCACAAUGGGCGAAAGCCUGAUGCAGCGACGCCGCGUGAGGGAUGACGGCCUUCGGGUUGUAAACCUCUUUCAGCAGGGAAGAAGCGAAAGUGACGGUACCUGCAGAAGAAGCGCCGGCUAACUACGUGCCAGCAGCCGCGGUAAUACGUAGGGCGCAAGCGUUGUCCGGAAUUAUUGGGCGUAAAGAGCUCGUAGGCGGCUUGUCACGUCGGUUGUGAAAGCCCGGGGCUUAACCCCGGGUCUGCAGUCGAUACGGGCAGGCUAGAGUUCGGUAGGGGAGAUCGGAAUUCCUGGUGUAGCGGUGAAAUGCGCAGAUAUCAGGAGGAACACCGGUGGCGAAGGCGGAUCUCUGGGCCGAUACUGACGCUGAGGAGCGAAAGCGUGGGGAGCGAACAGGAUUAGAUACCCUGGUAGUCCACGCCGUAAACGGUGGGCACUAGGUGUGGGCAACAUUCCACGUUGUCCGUGCCGCAGCUAACGCAUUAAGUGCCCCGCCUGGGGAGUACGGCCGCAAGGCUAAAACUCAAAGGAAUUGACGGGGGCC
rnacentral:rRNA from 1 species